rnacentral:rRNA from 1 species
CAAUAGCGUAUAUUAAAGUUGUUGCAGUUAAAAAGCUCGUAGUUGGAUUUGUGGCGUACGGUGUGUUCCGGGCACUUGUUGUCUGAGUAACCUGCUGUUGCCAUCCUUGGGUGGAACCUGUGUGGCAUUAGGUUGUCGUGCAGGGGAUGCCCAUCAUUUACUGUGAAAAAAUUAGAGUGUUCAAAGCAGGCUUAUGCCGUUGAAUAUAUUAGCAUGGAAUAAUGAGAUAGGACUUUUUUGCUAUUUUGUUGGUUUGCGCAAAGAGGUAAUGAUUAAUAGGGACAGUUGGGGGUAUUCGUAUUCCAUUGUCAGAGGUGAAAUUCUUUGAUUUUUGGAAGACGAACUACUGCGAAAGCAUUUACCAAGGAUGUUUUCAUUAA